UCCUAGCCCCGAUUGCAACGACAUCCUUUUUCUGAAUAGGCUUUGAAAAAAGCGUUGGCGAAAAAGAUAUAGUGGAAAGCGGGAAAUAGC
rnacentral:sRNA from 1 species